UACGUAGGGUCCGAGCGUUGUCCGGAAUUACUGGGCGUAAAGAGCUCGUAGGUGGUUUGUCGCGUUGUUCGUGAAAACUCACAGCUCAACUGUGGGCGUGCGGGCGAUACGGGCAGACUUGAGUACUGCAGGGGAGACUGGAAUUCCUGGUGUAGCGGUGGAAUGCGCAGAUAUCAGGAGGAACACCGAUGGCGAAGGCAGAUCUCUGGGCCGUAACUGACGCUGAGGAGCGAAAGCGUGGGGAGCGAACAGG
rnacentral:rRNA from 1 species